UAGCUCAGGACGAACGCUGGCGGCGUGCCUAAUACAUGCAAGUCGAACGCACUCUCGUUAGAUUGAAGAAGCUUGCUUCUGAUUGAUAACAUUUGAGUGAGUGGCGGACGGGUGAGUAACACGUGGGUAACCUGCCCUAAAGUGGGGGAUAACAUUUGGAAACAGAUGCUAAUACCGCAUAAAACCUAGCACCGCAUGGUGCAAGGUUGAAAGAUGGUUUCGGCUAUCACUUUAGGAUGGACCCGCGGUGCAUUAGUUAGUUGGUGAGGUAAAGGCUCACCAAGACCGUGAUGCAUAGCCGACCUGAGAGGGUAAUCGGCCACACUGGGACUGAGACACGGCCCAGACUCCUACGGGAGGCAGCAGUAGGGAAUCUUCCACAAUGGACGAAAGUCUGAUGGAGCAACGCCGCGUGAGUGAAGAAGGUUUUCGGAUCGUAAAACUCUGUUGUUGGAGAAGAACGUAUUUGAUAGUAACUGAUCAGGUAGUGACGGUAUCCAACCAGAAAGCCACGGCUAACUACGUGCCAGCAGCCGCGGUAAU
rnacentral:rRNA from 1 species